AAUGAACGUUGGCGGCGUGGAUUAGGCAUGCAAGUCGAGCGCUCAUCAGCAAUGGUGGGAGCGGCGAACGGCGUAGUAAGACGUAGGAACGUACCCUCGGGACGGGGAUAGCUAUGGGAAACUGUAGGUAAUACCCGAUAAUCUCUGCGGAGCAAAGGUGUGAUUCCGCCUGGGGAGCGGCUUACGCGAUAUUAGCUAGUUGGUGGGGUAAUGGCCUACCAAGGCGAUGAUGUCUAGGGGGUGUGAGAGCAUGGCCCCCACGACCGGAACUGAGAUACUGUCCGGACACCUACGGGUGGCUGCAGUCGAGAAUCUUCCGCAAUGGACGAAAGUCUGACGGAGCGACGCCGCGUGCGGGAUGAAGGCCCUUGGGUUGUAAACCGCUGUCAGAGGGGAUGAAAUCUUCGGAGGUACUCCUCCGAAGUUGACAGAGCCUCAAAGGAAGCACGGGCUAAGUACGUGCCAGCAGCCGCGGUAACACGUACUGUGCGAACGUUAAUCGGAAUCACUGGGCUUAAAGGGUAUGUA
rnacentral:rRNA from 1 species